AAGCACAGAGAUUUUAAGAAAUUGCAAGGGCUGAGUAUGGCUAGAAUAUAGCAUACGAUGGGGAGAUGGACACACUGAGAGAAGAACUGGACAGGCACUGGGGAGCCACUGAAAAUUCUUAAGCAGAAGACCAAGGCAACUAGACACCAGCCAUCAAGAGCUGCUUAUGCGGGAGGCCCUCGGUGACUCACUUGCUCCUACUUCCCUGGGACUAUCUUCCUCAUACCACCUGCAGACCCAGAAGUCAAGCCUGUAGGAUGAAACCUGUCCAUCCACGAGAUGGGAAGCUGCCAGUAAUGAUCGAAGAGGCACAGUCAAUGUGAGUGCUUUUCUCUGCCCACUCAGAACUCCUCAAAACUUGACAGUGGGCACAAAACAACGUGGCUCUGCCCCAAGCACAAGGACAAGGGGGAAAAGGACAGGUGGCAAAGCAUUCACAAAAGCUAACAGGAGAAAAGGCAGAUUGGUUUCUUUUCCUACAACGUAGGAGCUUUUAUUACUAGAAAAUAAAAUCCUGUCUGAGCAAAUGCCAGGAAAACGAUUAAGGGCUCAAUUUAGAUUGGGAGGCUUGGUUGGGCACUGCUAGGCAGGGAGCUAAACAAUGUCAGCCCCACUCUCUAUGCACAUCACGUUUGGGGUGAGUGGCCCGAGCCCCAGCCAGGCCUUUCACCACCAGUUUUGUAGAAUUACAGUUAAGCUUUGGCCACUUGGUUUCAGUUAAAAGGAUUGUGUGGAAGGAAGGAUAAAAGGCUCUUGCACGCAGACCAGCUAUUGCGUCUGAGGACUAAGAAGAAAUGCAGCCAGGGUGGUGCCAGACCUUGAAGAAACCCUUCUUCCC
rnacentral:lncRNA from 1 species